GAACGAACGCUGGCGGCAGGCUUAACACAUGCAAGUCGAGCGCCCCGCAAGGGGAGCGGCAGACGGGUGAGUAACGCGUGGGAACGUACCUUUUGGUUCGGAACAACUCCGGGAAACUGGAGCUAAUACCGGAUAAGCCCUAACGGGGAAAGAUUUAUCGCCGAAAGAUCGGCCCGCGUCUGAUUAGCUAGUUGGUGAGGUAACGGCUCACCAAGGCGACGAUCAGUAGCUGGUCUGAGAGGAUGAUCAGCCACACUGGGACUGAGACACGGCCCAGACUCCUACGGGAGGCAGCAGUGGGGAAUAUUGGACAAUGGGCGCAAGCCUGAUCCAGCCAUGCCGCGUGAGUGAUGAAGGCCUUAGGGUUGUAAAGCUCUUUUGUCCGGGAAGAUAAUGACUGUACCGGAAGAAUAAGCCCCGGCUAACUUCGUG
rnacentral:rRNA from 1 species